UACGUAGGUGACAAGCGUUGUCCGGAUUUACUGGGCGUAAAGAGCGCGCAGGCGGUCGAUCAAGUCGAGUGUGAAAGCCCCCGGUUCAACUGGGGAGGGUCAUUCGAUACUGAUCGACUCGAAGGCAGGAGAGGGUAGUGGAAUUCCCGGUGUAGUGGUGAAAUGCGUAGAUAUCAGGAGGAACACCGGUGGCGAAGGCGGAUCUCUGGGCCUUACCUGACGCUCAGGUGCGAAAGCUAGGGGAGCGAACAGG
rnacentral:rRNA from 1 species